rnacentral:rRNA from 1 species
GGUGAGCCCAGCUUGCUGGGUGGAUCAGUGGCGAACGGGUGAGUAACACGUGAGCAAUCUGCCCCUGACUCUGGGAUAAGCGCUGGAAACGGCGUCUAAUACUGGAUACGAGCUGCGAUCGCAUGGUCAGUAGCUGGAAAGAUUUUUUGGUCAGGGAUGAGCUCGCGGCCUAUCAGCUUGUUGGUGAGGUAAUGGCUCACCAAGGCGUCGACGGGUAGCCGGCCUGAGAGGGUGACCGGCCACACUGGGACUGAGACACGGCCCAGACUCCUACGGGAGGCAGCAGUGGGGAAUAUUGCACAAUGGGCGCAAGCCUGAUGCAGCAACGCCGCGUGAGGGAUGACGGCCUUCGGGUUGUAAACCUCUUUUAGCAGGGAAGAAGCGAAAGUGACGGUACCUGCAGAAAAAGCGCCGGCUAACUACGUGCCAGCAGCCGCGGUAAUACGUAGGGCGCAAGCGUUAUCCGGAAUUAUUGGGCGUAAAGAGCUCGUAGGCGGUUUGUCGCGUCUGCUGUGAAAUCCCGAGGCUCAACCUCGGGUCUGCAGUGGGUACGGGCAGACUAGAGUGCGGUAGGGGAGAUUGGAAUUCCUGGUGUAGCGGUGGAAUGCGCAGAUAUCAGGAGGAACACCGAUGGCGAAGGCAGAUCUCUGGGCCGUAACUGACGCUGAGGAGCGAAAGGGUGGGGAGCAAACAGGCUUAGAUACCCUGGUAGUCCACCCCGUAAACGUUGGGAACUAGUUGUGGGGUCCAUUCCACGGAUUCCGUGACGCAGCUAACGCAUUAAGUUCCCCGCCUGGGGAGUACGGCCGCAAGGCUAAAACUCAAAGGAAUUGACGGGGACCCGCACAAGCGGCGGAGCAUGCGGAUUAAUUCGAUGCAACGCGAAGAACCUUACCAAGGCUUGACAUACACCAGAACACCGUAGAAAUACGGGACUCUUUGGACACUGGUGAACAGGUGGUGCAUGGUUGUCGUCAGCUCGUGUCCUGAGAAGUUGGGGUUAAGUCCCGCAACGAGCGCAACCCUCGUUCUAUGUUGCCAGCACGUAAUGGUGGGAACUCAUGGGAUACUGCCGGGGUCAAUUCCGAGGAAAGGUGGGGGAUGACGUCAAAUCAUCAUGCCCCU